GCAAGAUAGAAAUCACUUUGUCCUACCAUAAAUGGCUGCAUGCUUCCUGGAAGGAUCCUUUCAUUAAACGAGAUGUGCGCCCUUUCCUUCUGCUGACGCCUGCCUGGCCACCUCCUUACAUAGCAGAAACCGCACAAAGUUCUUGCGUAUACUUGGACUCCACGUCGCCUCUUUGGUUUCCUUCCUUCUUUAACGCUUCUCUCCCCACCCACAGGUACAACCUUUAGCUGCUGCUUCUUGGGUUUCUUUCUUUUUUUAUUGCGUAGAAGUUGAUUGUGGAUGUCUGAAGUUCUUGAUCUUGCAAUCAACUCUCUUUUUGGCUUCGGUUUCUUUGAUUGAUUUCUGCUUUCUUUUUCAUAGUCUUUGUUAAUCGAUCUUCAUGUGUUCUUACUUUUAGAAAAAUUUUAGACUUUCUUUGCUGCAAGAAAUUCCUGUCAUCUUCAGAUAUUCAAAGGUUCUUGGUCAUAAAUUGUACUGGAUUCUGCUUGAAAGCUUGAAUCUUUUCCUUCGUUUAAUUCAGAAUUGAUCUCUUGGAGCUAUUCUCGGUGGGUUUGACUUUUAGGCGUAGAUAGAUGAUCAUGGAUCCUAAACCCACAGUGGGUUCCAUAAUUGAUGAACAAUCCUUCUUUCCGAACUCCGAUGGAUACCCAGAUAAUGAAAGUGGAUUUAAAUUUGAUAGCCCUUACUCUGAUCUUAAUUUCAUGAAUAUUCCUUCUGAUCCCCCUGAUCCUGUUGCAAAUGAUUUGGGUCUGUCCUUUGCCUUUAGUCCUGGGGGAGAGUCAUUUAUCCCAGCGUUUAGUCCAGGCGGAGAAUCCUUUGAACCGUCCCCUGGCUGGAGUCCGGAGGGAGUUUCUUCUUCCUCUAAUGAUAGUGAUUCUUCAGAUCCAGUAUUCAAAUACAUAAGCCAAAUGCUUAUGGAAGAGAACAUGGAAGACAAACCCCCCAUGUUUUAUGAUCCUCUUGCUCUGAAAGCCACAGAGAAGUCAUUGUAUGAUGUGCUUGGUGAGGAAUAUCCUUCCUCCCUCAAGUCCCCCCAGUUCCAUAUCAACCAUGAGGGUCCUGACAGCAAUCUUUCUGGUAGUGGUAGUGAUUAUGGUGGUAUGACUAGCACUAGCAGUAGCACUAGCGCUAACACCGGCACGGGCACCGGCACCGGGACCAGAGAUUUUGUUGAUCCCCAGUUGGUUGGUUAUGUUGGAGAAUCAAAUUCAAUUUUGUUUCAAACAGAUGUUCCAUAUGACUACCAUUUGCAGUCCAAUUCACAGUCGACUUCUCAAUUUUUGGGGAAUCCUUCAAAUGGUCUGUCUGAUUUUGGCAAUGGGCUUAUGGGUUCUUCUGCGAGUGAGAUGGUGCAGAAUAUUUUCAGUGAGACAGAAUCUGUGCUGCAGUUUAAGAGAGGUUUAGAGGAAGCUAGUAAAUUCCUUCCUAAAGCUAGUCAACUAGUUGUUGAUUUAGAGAGUAAUGUAUUUGCCGCUGGGCAAAAGGAAGAGGCUCCAUUGGUUAUAGUGAAGGAGGAGAAAAUUGAGAGGGCGAGCUCACCAAAUGGCUCAAGGGGUAGGAAGAAUCACGAACGAGAGGAUUCAGAUUUAGAACAAGGGAGGAGUAGCAAGCAGUCUGCGGUGUAUGAGGAAGAGAGUGAACUAUCUGAAAUGUUCGAUAAGGUAUUGCUUUGGCCUUUGUUGAAAGGUAAACAAGGGUGCUGUGGCCCUGAAGUCAAGCAGGAUGGAGCAAGCCAGAUCCCAAAGCAAGAUGAAAAAUCAAACAGAUCAAAUGGUGGAAAGUCUCGUGCUAAAAAACAGGACAAGAAAAAGGAAACAGUGGAUUUGAGGAGUCUACUGAUUCUCUGCUCACAAGCUGUCUCUGCAAAUGACUUCAGAACUGCUAAUGAGCUCCUGAAACAGGUUAGGGAGCACUCUUCCCCUCUGGGUGAUGGGUCGCAGAGAUUGGCACAUUACUUUGCCAAUGGUCUUGAGGCACGCUUGGCUGGCAGCUGGACUGGAAUGCAAAACUUUUAUACUUCUAUUGCUGCAAGGAGGAUGACUGCUGCUGAUAUGUUGAAAUCUUACAAAACCCAUCUUCAUGCCUGCCCAUUUAAGAAGCUCUCAAUACUAUUUGCAAACAAAAUGAUUUUGCAUGCAGCAGAAAAGGCAACAACUCUUCAUAUUGUAGAUUUUGGCGUCCUGUAUGGUUUCCAGUGGCCAAUUCUUAUUCAGCUGCUCUCAAUGAGGUCUGGUGGGCCUCCCAAGCUACGCAUUACAGGGAUAGAGCUGCCCCAACAGGGUUUCCGGCCAGCAGAAAGAGUUGAGGAGACAGGACGUCGCUUGGCAAAGUAUUGUGAGCGCUUUAGUGUUCCAUUUGAGUACAAUUCUAUUACUUCUCAGAACUGGGAAAAUAUCACAAUUGAGGACCUCAAGAUUAAUAGCAAUGAGGUGCUUGCUGUGAAUUGUUUCGGUAGGUUUAAGAAUCUACUUGAUGAGACAUUUGAAGUGAACUGUCCGAGGAAUGCUGUUCUUAACUUAAUCCGGAAGAUAAAACCCAAUAUUUUUGUUCAUUGUAUCAUUAAUGGAUCCUACAAUGCUCCGUUCUUCGUCACAAGGUUCCGGGAGGCACUUUUCCACUUCUCCUCUCUGUUUGAUAUGUUUGAUUCUACCAUACCUCGUGAAGAUCAAGAGAGAUUGAUGUUUGAGAGAGAGUUUUAUGGGAGAGAGGCCAUGAAUGUUGUAGCAUGUGAGGGCAUGGAAAGGGUAGAGAGGCCUGAAACCUACAAGCAGUGGCAGCUUCGGAUUACAAGGGCAGGGUUUAAGCAGCUCCCUUUGGACCAGGAGGUCAUAGAAAAGUGUAGGGAUAAGAUGAAGACGUGGUACCACAAGGAUUUUGUAAUUGAUCAAGACAGCAACUGGAUGCUGCAGGGAUGGAAGGGUCGAAUUAUCUAUGCUUCCAGCUGUUGGGUGCCUGCAUAAGAGUUGUUGGUUGCAUCUCCUUUGAAGUUGUAAUGGAAAACUACAAAUUUUUUCUUGAACUGGGUAGGCAUGGAUAAUUACAAAUUUGGGAAAAGAUGCUCCAGUACUACCUGCCUUUACAGAAGAACCAUAUACAGAUGAAGAAUUCUCAUAUUAAAGCAUAUUAACUUUGCUUACAAUUAGUACAUUUGAUGGUUGGAGGCCUGUUGAUCAUGGUAUGAAAUACAAAGUGCCUAUAUCCUGCACAUGAAUGCCUUUUGUGAGCAUUGAUAAAGCCAGAAACCGUCCUUUUUGGGAAGACUGUAAUAUAGAUCAAUAGUGGCUACUGGCUCUUUUUUUGGAAAUUUUAUAAUCAAAUUAUGGGUUUUCUUUCUUGAUGAUUUUGCAGUUAGUAUGGUGACCUUAGUGAGGUGCUGAACCUGGGUUCUUGCAUGAAACUGUUUCCGGGACUUCGGAUGUAUCUUUAUGUGAUGUAUCAAAUUAAAUAGCUUGUGAAACUUGCGGUUUUAAUUUACUGCAGAUUAAUUGAUGGUACUAUUGCUGUAUUUUUCACAUGUUUACCUUUUAGUCG
rnacentral:misc_RNA from 1 species